rnacentral:rRNA from 1 species
AUUGAACGCUGGCGGCAGGCCUAACACAUGCAAGUCGAAAGGUAACAGGAAGCAGCUUGCUGCUUCGCUGACGAGUGGCGGACGGGUGAGUAAUGUCUGGGAAACUGCCUGAUGGAGGGGGAUAACUACUGGAAACGGUAGCUAAUACCGCAUAACGUCGCAAGACCAAAGAGGGGGACCUUAGGGCCUCUUGCCAUCGGAUGUGCCCAGAUGGGAUUAGCUAGUAGGUGGGGUAACGGCUCACCUAGGCGACGAUCCCUAGCUGGUCUGAGAGGAUGACCAGCCACACUGGAACUGAGACACGGUCCAGACUCCUACGGGAGGCAGCAGUGGGGAAUAUUGCACAAUGGGCGCAAGCCUGAUGCAGCCAUGCCGCGUGUAUGAAGAAGGCCUUCGGGUUGUAAAGUACUUUCAGCGGGGAGGAAGGGAGUAAAGUUAAUACCUUUGCUCAUUGACGUUACCCGCAGAAGAAGCACCGGCUAACUCCGUG